AGGAGGAACAACCACAGUGGCGGCAGCCAGCUCUCGCCCUGGAGUCAGCUCCUGCAGUAAUUACAGAGCUCUCAGUCUGCAGGGGCCUGGAUGCUCCGGGGGCAG
rnacentral:pre_miRNA from 1 species